UGUAAACAUCCGCAUAUGUCCAGAAAACAUCCACAUAUGUCCUGUCCUGGAAAACAUUCAUUCCUACACACACACACACAUACACAACUGAUACACAGCAUACCUGGAGCUGGAGCUGGAUUAGGUGCAUGCCCUGUGUUGAUUCAAGGUACCGUACAAGGACUGAUUCAUGACUCAUGAGAGCUUUUAUUUAUUUGUUUAUUUAUAUAUGAAGAUGACGGACGGACGGACGGAUGGGUGGAUGUGUGUAAAGAGUGAGUGAGUGUCUACUUGACAAGGCCCAAGUUGAGGAUGCCCCAGGAAGUUUGUGGCCAUGAUCUGUCUCUUGCCUUCAUGAGCAGCACUCUUGCCCAAGCAAUCCAUCCUUCCCAAGACAUCCUCUUGUCCCAAGCACUCCCCCAUUCCAACAUCAGAGUCAGCCCUCUCUCUGCCUCUCUCUCUGCCUCCUCAAACUUUGCUUUUCUCAAAUAAACCUGAGCCAACACCACAUGUGGCUCCCCAAUAAAAGGGUUUCUCUCAACACACGACCUCAACAGAACCACCGUCGCUUCCUCAUCAUCAGCUCCUUUACCAUCAUCAACAAUCUCUCUCUUAGAAGACGACGACGACAUACCACAAACAGCUUCCCAGUACAAGUCCCUUGCAGCUAAUUGCUCCUUGGCAUCCAGAACCCUUGUGCACUUGUCGAAAACUGGUGGCACCACCAGCUCAAUAUCUUCAUCUCUAGAUUUGUCCAACUUGUCUCCAGUUGCAGUAGCACUAGUAAUUUUCCUCUCUUCAACAAAAAUCGCUUCCUCUCUCACCAUCAGAGUGUAUAUUGCAGCCAUUCUUGAUAUGGAAUUCAUCCAAAGCCCCGGCUUGCCAUCGCCAGGCCACAGAGCUGCAAAGUUGUUGCCCUUAAACUCAAGGCGGCCAUCUAUGUUAUCAAACAGCUCGUCCUGGAAACCAAAAAGUUGGUCACUGAAAUCUGCUAUUGUCAUCAUAAGAAACACUGCAACUACCCUCCUUGAGACCAAGACAUCUUCCCCGGUCUUUAUGUGCUUCACUGUAAUCCCAUUAGCAGGAACAAGAGUUUGCAGUUUCUUCCUCCAACUCCAAGGCGCUGCUGAGUGAUCCUCCUGAAUCUGAUCCUGAUUAUUAGAAUUAGAAUUAGUGGCAGGGGCAGCAAGCGAUACCUCAGAUUGUUUGAGAUGUUCAACGAGCUCCGAGUCUGUGUAGUGGAACAAAAGGUCAUCGUGAAUUAGAGACUGUCUUGGGACGAUACAGAAGAAGUGAAUCAAGCGUUCUGCAGCAUCCCCAACAUGGCCGCGGACCACUUCACGGCCUGUUGAGGGAUCAAAAAUGGCGAGGUUGACAUAGGAAUUGGAAUAAGCAGAGUGAAAGAGGCCGCAAAGGCAGACAGAAUCUUGGGCUUUCCAUAUCUUGAGAAUGCGGUAUAUGUCAACCAGGUGUUCAAGAAAGGUGCCAUGCUUGUGCCAGCACUCACCUGCUCCAACUGAGCGCAGCACACCCACAAGUGAAGGCAAAUUCUCGUCGAUCGCCUCCAGCUCGCCACGGAGGAAGGGGCGGGCCGAGUCUAAGAGCCUUUGCAAGUACUCCUGGCUGCUGCUCUCCGACUCCGAAGAAGAUCGAAGCGAUGAAGAUGGCAUUAUUGCUGCUGCUCCUCAAUUCUAUAAAUUUGAUAGGAUAAUCUAAAUUCUUUCUAAUCAGCAAUCAAAGCCAAGGGAAAAGCUACAAUACAGCAAGAGAGAGAGACGUAAAAAGAUUCGGUUCUUGUGAAAGCUCAGUUGUUGGGAAGAGAUAAGAUAAGGUUUUGUUUUGUUUUAUGGUUGUUCUGUUCUGUUUUGUUUGUUACUUUGCUUGUCGGGAUUUACGCCUUAGCUUUUGUAGAUGACUCUAUGCAGUUUGGAAAAGGAUUCCUACUUCAUAGAUGAUGACACAAACCAGAAAAACUUACUUGUAACAGGGUUCAUUGUUUUGCUAUUCCUGCUACUUCACAGACGGUGUUGGUGACUAAUAAUACAACGACACAUAAACUCAUUAUAAAUAAAUUUAAACUUCAGAGAGAUGCAAGGAUAACUCACCCCCACAACUAGGGAUUGUUCAGGAUUGAAAGGACUGGUCGGUAAGAGGAUUAUGUUUUUCAUUUUUUUUUGUCAAAAAGAAAGAUUAUUCAAUGCAACCUAGACAUAGGUUGAACUGGAAAUGAAAUGUUUGAACUUCGAACAUAAGGCCCAUUUCGCCUUCUUCUGUUCAGUUGAACGUUUAAUUUCUCAUGGCUUUCUCCUUCCAUAAGUAUAUAUGAUUAACUGAACUGAUCCAACCUCGCUAGUUUUUGAAAAUGAUUGUUUUGCUUGUGUAGUUGGAUUGGCACUCGCAGAAUCACUUCCCUAUGGUUAGUCGUUAUUUCUUCGUAAUAAUGUCACAUUCAAUUUUUACCCGUAAAACAAGUCACAUUCAAGAGAAAAAUGUAAAGAAGAGUCUCCAAUGUAGGCCUAUAAACGGGUCGGAGAUGAAGUGGAGCACUUGAAAUCCCACUCAAACCGAGUUCAAAUUUUUUUUGACCCGAUCCGAUUCGAAAUCCGAUUAGAUUCUAACAUCACCAUACCGGGCCAAAAAAAUAGAACAAAAAAGAAAAAAGAAAAGCGUUUUUUUAUGUAUUGUUUUGUGACGUGAAUCCUAUAUUAUUUGCAACACAUCCUCCUACCUGCAGCAGUCUAAUUAAUUCAGCCCAGAUCCUUGGGCAGGAACCAUUUCAAGAGCCUUCAUAAUGAAGGUAUAUAUGAAGGCAUCUUCUUGAAGCUUCUCAAAUCUGCACCAAACAAACAAGAAUAGGGAAGAAACACAAAUUAGUUCCUUACAGAGAAUGCAUGGAAAUACUUCAGACUUCAACGAUCUUGAAGGCCAUAGAGUUCUUGCUGUUUUUAAUUAUAAGCAAUUGUUCCUCUCACCUUUGUGAAAUUGUGACUUGCAUUUACAUCUAAAAUGAACGGAUAAUAAUAUUUUAUUUAAAAUGAAUAAUCCACUCUGUUUCAGAAAUACUAGCCAAAAGAAUUUUACCUCCCCGACUUUGAAGAAUGGCCAGCACCAAAUUCACAUUUAAACAUAACGAUGUUUUUAUCAGUCUUCAUAUCCCUUAGUUUUGCCACAAAUUUAGCAGGUUCUGAAUACAUCACACGUGGAUCUGUUGCAAUAAACCAGUGUCUCAAAUGGAAUGCCAGGAGAAAAAAAGCAUUAUCAGAUAUAAUUAUAACUUCCCUCUUUCCAUUACACAGCUGAGUCUCAUCCAUGGGAUCAGCCACCAACAUCCAAUAAGCCCUACCCACGAAGUCCUCUAAACAUAAUGAUUUGACUUAAACAUUAAAAUGUGUUUAACAGUGCUCAGUUGCUGUUGGAGAAUAAAAGUAUUUCUAACUAGGAUUCUACGUGAGUAUUUGUUUAGCAGUGUAAAGUAACUUCCUCCUGUAAGUGAUUUGAUUUGAUUUACUUUCUUUCUGUGAUUAGGCUUAGACUCUAUUUAAAACCUUCUAGGGUUAAAGUUAAGAUCAAAGUAUUACCCUACUUUUUCAACAAGGUACAACACGACUUAAUCUUUUUAAACAGGGUUCCUUUUUUCCAGACCGCAAGCCUUCCGAUAGAUUUUAAUUAUAUACAUAAAGCAAUUAUCUGACAAUUUCCUAUUUCAAGAUAAUAAUGAACUAUAUCGUGGGAGCACCCUGCAAUCUUUCAUGGCAAUGCCAACUAUUUCAAGAUAAUGAAGAAAUUGAAAUUGCAGAAGCAAAAGUGUUAUGAUCUUGUGCCUACCAUUUAGACCAGCAGUAACAAGAAUGUUUGGAUAAUUUUGCACCUUAACCUGCAUAAAAUAAUGCCAAACUUAGAUCAUUAAGGUAAAAAAUAUUUUAGGAAUGUAUUACAAUUCAUGACUUAGUGCUUGGCAAUUUUAUCUGGGACAGAAGAAUAGAGAAAGGUCUUUAAUUUUGCCUAUUUGUCUGUUGUCUGUAAAUGAUCACUUUGAUGAUACCAAAUUAUGGUUAUUCUAGCUUACUUGUUAUAACGAUACUGAUUAAAGCAGUACAGAACAGGUUAUUGUCCUCACAUUAUCAACAGGGGAAUACGACUUCAUGUAAAAGUAGAACUCCUCUUUACGUGGAUCACCCCAUUCCUGCAGAAACAAAAUUAUAUCAGUGAAUAGUAUCUAAACAUACAUUUUGAAAAAAAAUAGUAGCAAGCUGACUGCAGUCACCAAGAGUCACCUUAGAUCAUAAAGAUGGGGCAAAUGGAUAUAAUUAGGUAGAUCUGGAAAACCAAAGAAUAUUUAAACAAAGUUCAAGCGAAGAACUCCAAAAAUUUUGUAGCGCAAAAAUAAGAAAAGAACAAGGAAAAAUCGUGAUGUCAAGUUCGGGUUGACCCAUACAAGGAUACAAGUUGCAUUUGAUGACAGUAUCAAUUAACUAGUGUUGCAUUUAUGUGAUGUUUAAAAUGAUGUGAUCAUUAUAUUAUUAUCCACCCCAGUUAAUCAUUAAAUCCCUAAGGAGAUUAAGUUAACAAUGCCCAAGUGAUGAUCCAUAAAACUAGAUGUUCAUCACAUGCAAGCUACGGCAUCCAAGAAAAUUCACCAGUUAUAGACAUAGCAAGAGUAUUUCUGCAUUCAUAACAAACAAUUUUACUAGGGAAUUUCUUCUUCAUUUCUUUCAUCCUGUUAAUGCUUCAACGUAAGAAUCUCAUGAGGAAAAGUAAAAUACCUCCCACUCUGAAGUUGUGAGAGGGAUAGUUGGAUCAAGCAUUGUCGUCAGAACAUCAACAAAAGGCACUCCAGCAACAGCAGCCUUGAACAAAUCAGGCCUCAUAUUAAGAACAGCACCAAUAAGCAAUCCACCUGCACUCCUUCCAUCAAUGCAUAAUCUUGCUUUUGAACAGUACUUCUUUUCUAUCAAAUACUCAGCACAAGCAAUAAAAUCGGUAAAAGUAUUUUUCUUCUUUAGUAACUUUCCAUUCUCAUACCACUGCCUCCCCAUUUCACCACCCCCACGAAUGUGAGCUAUAGCAUAAAUAAAACCAUGAUCCAGCAAAGACAGCCUUGAAGCUUUAAAACUGGGAUCUAUGCAGACCUGUUGACAAGAUAAGGCUCCAAGUCAUUGAGAGAGAAAUGAAUACAAGUGGAGAAAAAAAUAUUCCCAAUGGCUUGAUAUUGCCUCCUGCAGCAUUUUACAUGAGCUAGACUAAAGUCUAUCUUGACAAAAGUCAGCAAGUUGUUACACCAGAGUGAUUAGAGCAAAGCCAGAAGAGUAACCCGACAUUAAGAAGUUCAAGGUUCUGAAAAGCUUAAUAUGUGGCUUUAUUUAGGAUCUUCAUUUCGUUUUUGUAGGAAACAAUAAUCUUACUGAAAAAAUAAGUUAUAAAACAGGGUAGACAAGAAAUCCAUCAGAAACACAGAAACAAAAACCUUAAAAAGCACCUUCUCCCAAGAUGUUGGCUUUAAGUAGGAUUUUAAUGCUUUUUCUCACCAAGAAAUUAGGAUUCUAAAGAUUUUCACAAACCUGUAGAAGAAAGACGCCAAGAGGACCACUGACAAACUUCAACGUAUAUGCGCAAGAAUUACUGAACUGUGAUCAGAAUUAGGCAUCAUAGGCCAGAGACCAAAUUUUACAUGCUAAUUACUAAUCCAAACGGAUGCUAUAAGGCUAUAACAAGAAAACUUGUAAGCUUCUUAAGAAGACAUCUGAUGUUCAUGCAUUAAAAAAGGCAGACAAAAAGAAAUGGGAAUCAGGACUCAUCUCUCGACUCCUGAUUCUCCCGAGGUGUAUGGCUUUAAUGUUGCUGAAAAGGAAGACUAGAGCAGUUACAUAUAAAAUUCAGAAACUUAUCUUUGUGCCAAUCUCUAGUACUAUAACGCAGGGAAUGACUGCAAUCACAAAGAUGGCUCUGGUUACAUAUCUUUAAGGGCUUCAGAUUUCAGGGCUGUACUUUGAUUAAUUGACCAAUUAGAAGUUCUCAAGGGGUAUUUUGAAACAUCUCGCAAAUUUUCUACAAGACAUGCUUCUCAAUGUAAUCACAUUUGGAAUAUAAUGAUUGCAGUAAAAACAAAAAAAUAUAAAUAUAUCACUCGUGCCUAGUUUAAUCUACGAAUUCUUUUGUUACCUCAUAGGAGCCAUAGCCAUAGAGUAGCAAUGGAUCCGAUCCAUCAAGUUUUAUGAGAUCCUUCCUGUAAACAAUUGAUAUUGGUAUCUGAGUACCAUCUGGAGCACUAGCCCAUUUCCUUUCAGUAACAUAAUUUGAUGCUUCAAAACCUCCCAAAACCUGAGAAACAAAAUUGACAACAAUACUUCUGAAUUACAAUAUUGAAAUUUGUGUCUAAUUUGAUAGUAAGAAAAAGGCAACACUUGACCAGGCAUCAAAUAACUCAGGAAGAUGCCAUACAACCCAACUUUUUUGCCAACUCUCUCAUGUACGAGGUUCUGUGAUAUCAUGGAUCUCAUUCCAUGCAAGACAAUUGGGGGGACAAAAAACAAAGCAGACAAAAUUGGGGACAAAGUGAAGUGUAAAGCAUUUUCCAAUAACAUAAUCAAUGUAGAAGUGACUACUGUAUAUGAAAUGGAAAUGUAUAAAAGUUCCACUUUAAAUAUUUAACUUUGAAAACCAAAAUAGUCCUUCUACACAGUAAAUAAACUUCCUGCGGUUGGAACUUCAUUGGUAUUUCCCCUGCAAAAUCUCACAUCAUCGUACUAAUAAGAAACCCAAUUGCAUACCCUUAUUUUUUAAGGAAAAAAACUAUGUUGUGUAAAGUUUAUACAAUUUUGAACAAUGACCGUACUGAACCAACUUAUGUUCUUUCUUUUAGCUUCCUUAUACAAACUACAAUUUCUUGGUUGGUAUAUAUUCAUAACAGUAUAUGGAGUAUUCGAAAAUGAAAGAGAGCAAAAAUAUAAGAACGAGAUAAUAUGAGUGAAUAUUAUGAUCAUGUCAUGCAAAACCAGCAUUCUCCCUAGACCUACAAUAAACUUCGCAUUAGUAAACAGAUAUGACCAUUAAAGAAGGUAACAUUUUCACACAACACACACACACAUACACUCAUGCACACGCAAAAACACAUUUACACACACAUACACACACAAAGGAACAAUAAGGCCAGGUAUAUAUAUUAAAGGUAAUAAACGAAAUCUUAAUUUCCAAAAUAAAAUAAAGUAUAAAUUCAUUACUGUUGCAAGUUGAACCAAUAACAUUCCUAUAAGGAGAGUUAAAUAAGACACAAUAGCAAGCUUUGAAAUGCCAAUAAAAACAACUUACUGUUUCGAUCUUCUUCAAAACAGAAAUGCCUGUCUUCAUAUCAUAAUCAUAUACAGACGGAGGCGUUUUCAUUGAGCUAUAAGAAAAUCUUAAAAUUCUGGAAGAAAAUUCUGAUUCUGAUCGAUCCACAGAGUAUGUGGGAUCCAAAAAAUUAACAGCUUGACCACUGUGAAGGCUUUUAAGCGGUUGUCCAACAUCUGGAAGGUGAUAGAUAGUGACUUUUGGUAGACCCUCUUCACGCUCAUAUACAACAAGGUGUUCACUAAAAAGUUGUAUAUCCUGAAUUUUUACACUGAAGAAAAUUCUAAUUAGUAUGCUUAAAAUAAGAAAGAAAAUUUGCCUGCUAAAAAUAGUGAAGGUCAAAAAAUUGCCACAGAUUUUUCACGCCCCGAGAAAAAUUCUAGAAUGAAUAUGCAAAUGCAUAAGCAGCAAUUGGACAAUAUGGCAUGGAGGACUGAACAACACAUCUAACUCCAUCCAUUGUUAUAUCUCUCUUAUUUACAGUUAAAAGAGCACAUCAAAGGAAAAUAGCUAGAGAAAGGCUCCAGAAAAAGGUUCAGUUUCAUUUCUAGAAAAUGUGCUGCAAAUCACAUUUAGAUAUAAAAUGUUUCCAAUCAUGCAUAUCACAUUCAAUUUACACUUAAGCUGAUAAUGCCACAACUAGGACAUAAGACAUAAUUUUCAUAGUUCUUAAAAUUUUUAAAAAUGACAAGUCAAUUCAUGAACAUUUUAAGGUCAUGAAUGAGGAUGCGACUACCAAAUUUGAUGAUUACCUUUCCCUGUGUGGAAGAAGAACAGUAGUUUCAGAUGUAUUUUCCAGUGGACAAGCAAUUACUUCAGAAUUAAAACAUUUGUCACUUCUCCUCCUUAUAAAAAAAUGAUUUCCUCGAUGACUAACAAAUGUAUCAAUGCCAUUUACACGAGGUGUCAGAACCACAAGCCCAUCUUCAAGCUUUGCAAUAUCAAGGUAAAAGUUGAAUCUUGUAAUUUUACUUUCAGAUCCAACAAAUAAGAAUUUUUUGCUCUCAGAAGUUUGAAGGUCAAGAGAAAACACAUCAUCCUUUUCAUGAUAGAGGCACGAGUCACUUGACUGUUCUGUUCCCAACUUAUGUAACCAUGCCUAUUAAAAAGAAAACACGUUAUAAGCUAAACAAAAAGGAUUAAGCAGCACUUCACUCAUAAAAGUAAACGAUCGAACAGAAUGCAUGUAAAAGUUCUCUUCUGUGUGAGUAAGCCAGACAGGGGUAAGGCAUGACCUCCUGGCUCACUGCAACAAGACAAACCAGCAAGAAAACAGAAUGGACUUAUACAGAAAUAUAGGAGGAUGCAUUCUAACGAGGCAUUGUCACCAGUUCUCAUGAAAAAUUAUGUAAUCAUUUGUAUUCUCACAUAAAAGCAUGGGGCUGUGGUCAUUGAGCACAAUAUCUAAUAGUCAACAAAAAUAAACACAGGAGAGCCUCAUACAUAGGAUGUAAACAAAUGGGGGGAAGCGCGGUAACAGAACCACUGGUAAGUUGCUGAAUUCUAAAAUUUACCUGAACAUGAAGAUCUUCAACACCAAUAAGAUAGCUAAAUAUCUUAUAAUGCUCUCUAGUCCUUGAAUAAUGACAACUCAAAAAUUAAUGGCACAAAGAAUUGAACAUGCAGGUGAAGUGGGUGUGUGAAACAUGCCGUGACAUGAGAAGCAGAGGGCUUGAAGCAGUAGAAUCAAACCUUGUCAGGCCGGAGAGUUUCAUCCAUUGUAAUAUAAACUAAAGCCUCAUCACCAGCCCAUUGAAGAUAGGAUGUUGCAUCAACUAGAGGCAGUCCCACAGGAGCACCUGUCUCAGCAUCAAUGACAUGAAUUGUAUAAAUUUCAUUUCCUUUGGUGUCUUCUGCAUAUGCCACCAAUUUAUUAUUUGGACUAACCUGAAGAAGCAAUUACAAAAAAGUGGAGAACUUUGUAUAAUCAAACAAGAAACCACUGCAAUAUCUGUUAUAAUCAUAUACACCAUUGUUGUGGUUACCUUAAAAGCAGCAAUGCUAUAAUAGUCAUGAUGUUGAGCCUUAAUAUUCUCAUCCAAGAUUACAUGCUCGGGAGGAGCAUCAGGUCCGGUGGGCAUUGUAUCAUAUACAGAGGGUGGGGCCUCAGCCUGGAAGUUGGGUAUUAAGCGGCGACAACGCUGAACAUAUUCCUUACCCUUCAAAGUCCUUCGAUAGUAAUAGUAGGGGCCUUUUCGUUCAGGUGCAGAUAUAUCAUCCUCCUUGAUCCUCCCCCUUAUCUCAGCGUACAGUUCAUCUUCAAAUUUCUUAGUUCCUAAUGUAAAUAAAUCAAUUAAAAAUAAAAUUACAUUGCUUUGCUACUAAAGUUAGAAACAAGCAAACAAUAAUAGAUUAAAGGGUGUUGAAUGAAGAUCAAAUCAAAGUCGAAAUACAGACAAUUAAUAGUUGAAUACAAGUAACAAAGACAAAUGAGACGGGAAACGAAGGGAUAAGAUGGAAAGAACAGAUAGGUGGAUACCUACCGGACAUGAGGAAUUGGGUGUAAGCGUUCUCUUGUUGAAGGUAAGAGAGGACGUCGGGGUUGGAGCGAGAGUCGUCUCGAAGCCAAUAGUAGUUGUCCACUCUCACGUCUCCGAACAUCUCCAUCUUAUGCUCCACCUUCUUCGCCAUGGGAGGGGGAGGGGGAGGCUCACUCUGGCUCAUCCUCACGGCUGCUGCUUCUGAUGAUGACGAUGACGCUCGGACGGUGAUGGAUGCAGAGGCACCAACUGACGACAAUACAACUGCUGGAAGGAACACAAGCUGCUGAACCAGGUUUACAAAGCUCACACCCUUGCUGGCCCUGUGGCCUUGCAUUCUCAUCUGUGCUAUAUAUAAUAAUCCGAAUUAAUAAUAGGCUAGUAAUUAAUUAAUUUUUUUAGUAAACAAAUUUAAUUGCUUAUUUUUAUAAUCCAUUUAAGAUUACACAAACUCUGAAAAUAAAUCCAUUUAAGAUUUCACAAACUCUGAAAUUCUCAAAAAUGGCAUCUGUAUGAAUGAUACAUUUGGAUUGGGUGGGUGCACCGUGCAAUACAUCUGUAUGAAUGAUUUGCCUUGUCUUGUGUUUACAUGAUAAGAUGAUGAGUUGAUAAUUUAUUUGUGGUGAAUUAGACUUCAACAUUUGGAUUUUGGUAUUGUCGUUUUGCCCCGUCCAUUUUAACAUGUAUUUAUCAAAUAGAUUCCAUUUCAACAUGUAAAAUCUAUUCGCACUGUUUCUGUAAAUGCAAAUCAAGCCGGGGUUUUUAUUGGAUUCGACAUUUAUUUUACAUUAUGCCGGGGUUUUCAUCGAACGCAUUUCUAGUAUAUUUAUGUAUAGUUAGAGGGUUUAGGAGCUGGAGCUGGAGCUGGAGCUGGUGCAUGCCCUUUGUUGAUUCAAGGUACCGUACAAGGACUGAUUCAUGACUCAUGAGAGCUUUUAUUUAUUUGUUUAUUUAUAUAUGAAGAUGACGGACGGACGGACGGAUGGGUGGAUGUGUGUAAAGAGUGAGUGAGUGUCUACUUGACAAGGCCCAAGUUGAGGAUGCCCCAGGAAGUUUGUGGCCAUGAUCUGUCUCUUGCCUUCAUGAGCAGCACUCUUGCCCAAGCAAUCCAUCCUUCCCAAGACAUCCUCUUGUCCCAAGCACUCCCCCAUUCCAACAUCAGAGUCAGCCCUCUCUCUGCCUCUCUCUCUGCCUCCUCAAACUUUGCUUUUCUCAAAUAAACCUGAGCCAACACCACAUGUGGCUCCCCAAUAAAAG
rnacentral:lncRNA from 1 species